UACGUAGGUCCCGAGCGUUGUCCGGAUUUAUUGGGCGUAAAGCGAGCGCAGGUGGUUUAUUAAGUCUGGUGUAAAAGGCAGUGGCUCAACCAUUGUAUGCAUUGGAAACUGGUAGACUUGAGUGCAGGAGAGGAGAGUGGAAUUCCAUAUGUAGCGGUGAAAUGCGUAGAUAUAUGGAGGAACACCGGUGGCGAAAGCGGCUCUCUGGCCUGUAACUGACACUGAGGCUCGAAAGCGUGGAGAGCAAACAGG
rnacentral:rRNA from 1 species